rnacentral:rRNA from 1 species
GACGAACGCUGGCGGCGUGCUUAACACAUGCAAGUCGAGCGAUGAAGUUCCUUCGGGAAUGGAUUAGCGGCGGACGGGUGAGUAACACGUGGGUAACCUGCCUCAUAGAGGGGAAUAGCCUUUCGAAAGGAAGAUUAAUACCGCAUAAGAUUGUAGUAUCGCAUGAUACAGCAAUUAAAGGAGUAAUCCGCUAUGAGAUGGACCCGCGUCGCAUUAGCUAGUUGGUGAGGUAACGGCUCACCAAGGCGACGAUGCGUAGCCGACCUGAGAGGGUGAUCGGCCACAUUGGGACUGAGACACGGCCCAGACUCCUACGGGAGGCAGCAGUGGGGAAUAUUGCACAAUGGGGGAAACCCUGAUGCAGGAACGCCGCGUGAGUGAUGACGGUCUUCGGAUUGUAAAACUCUGUCUUCAGGGACGAUAAUGACGGUACCUGAGGAGGAAGCCACGGCUAACUACGUGCCAGCAGCCGCGGUAA